AGCGAACGCUGGCGGCGUGCUUAACACAUGCAAGUCGAACGAGAACGGGUUAUAGCUUGCUAUAAUUGUCAGCUAAGUGGCGCACGGGUGAGUAAUGUAUAGGUAAUAUGCCUCUUACUAAGGGAUAACAAAUGGAAACGUUUGCUAAUACCUUAUACUCCUUAUUAACAUAAGUUAAUAAGGGAAAGAUUUAUUGGUAAGAGAUUAGCCUGUAUUGUAUCAGUUAGUUGGUGGGGUAAUGGCUUACCAAGACUAUGACACAUAACUGGUUGGAGAGGAUGAGCAGUAACACUGGAACUGAGACACGGGCCAGACUCCUACGGGAGGGAGCAGUGGGGAAUAUUGCACAAUGGACGAAAGUCUGAUGCAGCAACGCCGCGUGGAGGAUGACACAUUUCGGUGCGUAAACUCCUUUUAUAUGCGAAGAUAAUGACGGUAUUAUAUGAAUAAGCACCGGCUAACUCCGUGCCAGCAGCCGCCGUAAGAC
rnacentral:rRNA from 1 species